rnacentral:rRNA from 1 species
UACGGAGGGGACUAGCGUUGUUCGGAAUUACUGGGCGUAAAGCGCACGUAGGCGGAUUUGUAAGUCAGGGGUGAAAUCCCGAGGCUCAACCUCGGAACUGCCUUUGAUACUGCAAAUCUCGAGUCCGGAAGAGGUGAGUGGAAUUCCUAGUGUAGAGGUGAAAUUCGUAGAUAUUAGGAAGAACACCAGUAGCGAAGGCGGCUCACUGGACAUGUAUUGACGCUGAGGUGCGAAAGCGUGGGGAGCAAACAGG